UUCCAUUUAUGGAGUGUGAGCUCCUCUUAUCA
rnacentral:tRNA from 1 species